GAUGAACGCUAGCGGCAGGCUUAACACAUGCAAGUCGAGGGGUAACAGGGAUUGCUUGCAAUCCGCUGACGACCGGCGCACGGGUGCGUAACGCGUAUAGAACCUACCUUUUACAGAGGGAUAGCCUUUAGAAAUGAAGAUUAAUACCUCAUAGUAUCAUAAGAUCACCUGAUUUAAUGAUUAAAGAUUCGUCGGUAAAAGAUGGCUAUGCGUCCUAUUAGCUAGAUGGUAAGGUAACGGCUUACCAUGGCAACGAUAGGUAGGGGUCCUGAGAGGGAGAUCCCCCACACUGGUACUGAGACACGGACCAGACUCCUACGGGAGGCAGCAGUGAGGAAUAUUGGGCAAUGGACGAAAGUCUGACCCAGCCAUGCCGCGUGCAGGAAGACGGCCCUAUGGGUUGUAAACUGCUUUUAUAUAGGAAGAAACCCACCUACGUGUAGGUGGCUGACGGUACUAUAUGAAUAAGCACCGGCUAACUCCGUG
rnacentral:rRNA from 1 species